CUCCUUCCUCUGAGCUCAGCCCGGCGGAGAGGAGAGAAGAGGACCUCGGGCCCCGUUUCUUCCCCCGGGAGCGGGGGUGCUCCCGCUGCAGCCCGCCCGGCGAAGAGCAGGCACCGUCCCCCACCGCCCCGCGGAGCAGGUGCACAGCCCAGCUGCCUGCUGGCAGGGCCAGGGAGGCGCAGCUGGACGCAGCGAUCGGCGGGGCCUGGCGAAUCUCAGCCAGACAGCGGGAUUCCCCCAGCCGCAGCCUGCUCUGCAUAAUAUAGGAGCGGCCCAGCGGCGAGGCGCGGAGCUGGAAGCACAAACAGGAGAUCAGGAGGUUGUAGACGCUUCCCGGUUGUUUAACUGCGCUUCGGGUUGUCCCGCUGCCCCCGCUCUGAGCAAAGUGAAGAGCCCGAUUAGGACUUUAAGGCUCAGGCCACCCCUGUGACUAGGUAUUUAAACAACAAGUGGAGAUUGUCGUUAGCUGUUUGACAAAGGUCAGUCUCUUUUUGUUAUGUCUUGGAGAUGUUCUCUCCUACAAGUAGGCUGGGCAACAGGCUGUUAAGAGGGGAAACACACCCUUCUGUGUGUGUGUGUGUGUGUGUGUGUGUGUAACGGAGAGAAUCAUUGACAGGAAGGGCAAUUUUCAAACAAUUCAUGAUUAAAAUAUAAAUCCAUCUAUCUCUUGCUAAUUCUUUGUAUGGUUUCUUGAAUAUUGUAUUAAAUGUUUUACAUGCACAGGUAAUUUCCUCCAAAAAAAAAUAUGGUAGUGUCUAGGGACACCCAGAAGAGGGCUUCCAUGUGCUAGGUAAUGUACAAACACAGAGAGAAGCAGCUCCUUCCCCAAAGAGCUUCAGUCUAAAUAGACAGGACAAAGGGAUAGGGGAAGGGGUAGAACACACAGCAGAGUGAUUAAUGAGAUGGCUGCAAACUUGAUGUUAAUUGUACAAUCAACCAUGAACUAUUGUACAUAUUCAGACACGUUCGGUGCUAUAUUUCAUUGCUUCAGUGUGUUCUAUGAAGAGGGAAGAGGCAUCUGUCUGCAACCAAGGCACCCAAAUACCCCUGAAAAUCUGGGUAACAUUUUCAGAAACACCCAAGAGACCCAUCCUCAGAUGUGACCCCAGAGCCCACGUCUCAUUGCAAGUCAGAUGCUACAGGGUCAUCAAAAGAUCAAACCGCUUUAUAGAACAGUGUAUAUAAAAUGUAUAUGCAGAGUAUGUAACAAACAUGUGUAGUGUUUUAGAUAAAUGGUUCAGAUGUCUGUUCUUGGACCCAAUCCAAUUUUCAUAGCAG
rnacentral:lncRNA from 1 species